rnacentral:pre_miRNA from 2 species
AAUAUACUCCAUCCGUCCGGAAAUACUUGUCGAAGAAAUCGAUGUAUCCACACGUAUUUUAGUUUUAAAUACAUCCGUUUUUAUUCGUUUCUCCGCAAGUAUUUCAGACGGAGGGGGUACAUA